rnacentral:rRNA from 1 species
UACGUAGGGCGCAAGCGUUGUCCGGAAUUAUUGGGCGUAAAGAGCUCGUAGGCGGCUUGGCAAGUCGGGUGUGAAAACUUCAGGCUCAACCUGGAGAUGCCACCCGAUACUGCUAUGGCUUGAGUCCGGUAGGGGACCACGGAAUACCUGGUGUAGCGGUGAAAUGCGCAGAUAUCAGGAGGAACACCAUUGCGAAGGCAGCUCGCUGGGACGUUACUGACGCUGAGACGCGAAAGCGUGGGGAGCAAACAGG